ACCUUAUCACCUAAACCAGCUCACCUGAAGUUGCUUACGUACUGGAUGUUUAUCCUCUCAGCCCCUUUUCACUUCUCUUUCCUCUCUCUCUCUACUUAGCAAACAAUUAAGAGAAAAGGGAUUACCUUUCCUGCUGGAACUGAAGCAGACCUUGGGGAAGCCUUCAAUCCAGCCUGGUGGCUUGCGGGCUGAGGAGGAGGUUUUGAUCCGAGCAGGAUUCCUGCUGAUGGAGUUGUGAACUAAGAUUUAAAGGAAAUCUCUGCAGUUGAUGCUGCCGAACUGCAGGAAAUUAGGCUAAUUGAAGCUAUCAAGUGGAAGUCCAGCUGAGAAUAAUUCAUAAAAGGGGUUCACGGUUGCUGAAAUUUCAGAUUUCAGAAUUGGGGAAUUUUGGGAAUUAAAAUUUGGUGGAGUUGAUGCAAUAAUUAAACUGCUUGUGACCCGAAUUGUGAAGAACCUGGUAGAGCUCGGAAAUGAGGAAUUGGGAAAAAGGAAAAAGAAGUUAAGUGCUGAAAUUCCUGCAGUAAGGAAUUUCUUGCUUGCUGAAGUUGCUGAAUCAAGGUUGCAGUUGAAGGAAAUUACAACUCAAGUGGAACUUCUUUUGAUGCUUAAGCUGAAAAAAAGGAAGUUCUAGAAAGCUGAGAGCAAAUUAGAAGCUUCUAGUUCAGGUUCUUGGUACGCUAAUUACGAUAAAGCCAGUUAGGCUCUAUUUGCAUCUAGUCGGGUGAUACCUUCGUGGAUUCAGCCCGAGACGUGAGUUCUAAUUGUUAGCAUCCCUACAGGUUCCAGUGCGAGCGUUGUGGCCAUGGAUCGCGGCAAGGGCCCCGCAGCUUAGCUAGCUGACACCAGAGUUCUAGUAGUUUACCAUUUUGGCUUCAUGUAUCAUCUAGUUUGAUGUACAGAGACAUGUAAAUGAAUGUAUUAUAGAAUAUGUAAAUAACUAAAUGCGUUCAUACUCAGUUAUGCAAAGUUCAGUUUGAAAGUUUUAAAUUA